UCCCUGCUGGCUCAGAGGGUAAAGCGUCUGCCUGCAAUGCAGGAGACCCGAGUUCGAUCCCUGGGUCAGGAA
rnacentral:tRNA from 1 species